rnacentral:rRNA from 1 species
GACGAACGCUGGCGGCGUGCUUAACACAUGCAAGUCGAACGAUGAUCUCCCGCUUGCGAGGGUGAUUAGUGGCGAACGGGUGAGUAAUACGUGAGUAACCUGCCCUUGACUCUGGGAUAAGCCUGGGAAACCGGGUCUAAUACUGGAUACUACUUCCUGCCGCAUGGUGGGGGGUGGAAAGGGUUUUACUGGUUUUGGAUGGGCUCACGGCCUAUCAGCUUGUUGGUGGAGUAAUGGCUCACCAAGGCGACGACGGGUAGCCGGCCUGAGAGGGUGACCGGACACAGGGGAAGGGAGACACGGCCCAGCCGCCUGGGGGGGGCAGGAGGGGGGAAUAUUGCAAAAGGGGGGGAGGCGUGAGGCAGCGCCGCGGGGGGGGGGAGGAGGUCCUGGGGGUUGAAACCCUUUUAGAGCAGGGAAGAAGCAAAAGGGGGGGUUCCCGGAAAAAGAGGCGCGGCCAAACAACAAC